GCCAGAGACGGUGCCAGAGACGGUUCCCGAUGUAAUGCCCGAGACCGAGGCUGUUCCGGAGGUCGAGGCUGUGCCCGAUGCCGAGGCGGUGACCGAUGCUGUUCCGCAGGUCGAGGCGGUGCCCGAGGCUGUGCCCGAUGCCGAAGCGGUGCCCGAUGCUGUUCUGGAGGCCGAGGCGGUGCCCGAUGCGCAGGCCGAGGCCGUUGCCGAGGCGGGGUCCUUGUCCAAUGCCGUUCCUGAGGCCAUUCCUGAGGCCGUUCCUGAGACCGUUCCCGAGGCGAUGCCCGAUGCCGAGGCCGUUCCCGAGGCGGUGUCCUUGUCCAAUGCCGUUCCUGAGGCCGUUCCUGAGACCGUUCCCGAGGCGGUGCCCGAUGCCAAGGCCGUUCCCGAGGCGGUGCCCUUGUCUGAGGCCGUUCCCGAUGCCGUUCCCAAUGCCGUGACCUGGCCAUCGCCACAGCCUGCUCCUUACUGGCUCCCCGAUUGGCAGGUUCCGUUCGGGCCACUCAAAUGGCGAAUUCCUCCCUGGCCGUCUGCACAACGAGAAUGGACUGAUCCACCGUGGCCACCUGAACUGCCUGGCCCCUCAUGGUCCCCUGAACUUUCGGGUCCACCGUGGCCACCUGAACUGCCUGGUCCCUCGUGGUCCCCUGAACUUUCGGGUCCACCAUGGCCCCCUGAUCUGACCGAGCCACCUGGGCUACCAGGGGAGCCAUCACUGCCGGUCCCAGUUCCCCUACACGGGCCUGGCCCGCCAUCCCUCCCCCUGUUCUGCCUCCACCAGUCCACCUCCCUCCUGGUCUCUUUGUUUUGUGUUUAUUGUGUUCUGAGGAGCAUCUGGAAGCUGCUCCUUAGAGGGGGGGUAGUGUCACGGUGUCUGUUCUGUGUCUCCCUGGGUGGCCACUAGAGGUCUCACUUCCCC
ensembl:lncRNA